CCCUUAGAUGUUCUGGGCUGCACGCGCGCUACACUGAUGCGCUCAACGAGUUUACGACCUUGCCCGGAAGGGUUGGGUAAUCUUUUUAAAACGCAUCGUGAUGGGGAUAGAUUAUUGCAAUUAUUAAUCUUUAACGAGGAAUUCCUAGUAAGCGCGAGUCAUCAGCUCGUGCUGAUUACGUCCCUGCCCUUUGUACACACCGCCCGUCGCUGCUACCGAUUGAGUGGUCCUGUGAAUUAUUCGGACCGGUGGACUGUGGGGAAACCCGCGGCCUGCUGGGAAGUCUUGUGAACCUUAUCACUUAGAGGAAGCAGAAGUCGUAACA
rnacentral:rRNA from 1 species